rnacentral:lncRNA from 1 species
GCGGGAGUUUGAAGCUUCUUUCAAAUGUUAAUUUUCAAUCUCAAUGGUUAGGAAAACAUAGAUACUUUGCUCCCAGCUUUUGCCAAUCCACUCACUCAAAAUCAAAACUCAACGUUAAGUGUAUUUUCAAACUGUCUGCACAAGGCAAUUGGCUGGAAAAAUUUAAAACUGAUGCUUAACUGAUAUGAAAUAGGAUGUAUGAUGGUUUCCAGCAAGUUUAUAUGAUGAUAAUGGAUAGAUGUAGACAGCUAAAUGCUCACAGAACAAACUACAGCAGAAAUUGGCUAUGAC